rnacentral:ncRNA from 1 species
CAGAGGACUCAUCGAAAGGUGACCCCGGCGCCGUGAGGGCCGGUGGAAAAACGGGAUGAAUUCAGGGGAACCUCAGCGGCGGCAGGAUGCCGGACGGUGGCAACCCUGAGCCAAGCCGGCGGUACACCGCCGGAAGGUGCAGAGACUACCUGGGGGCUUGAGUGCCCUUGAUGACAGGCUUGAGCGUCCCGCACCCCACCAGCGCAGGCUGAGGGUGAUGAGAUAGUCCGCGCCGGAUGGAAACAUCCGG